rnacentral:rRNA from 1 species
UACGUAGGUGACAAGCGUUGUCCGGAUUUACUGGGCGUAAAGAGCGCGCAGGCGGUCGAUCAAGUCGAGUGUGAAAGCCCCCGGCUCAACUGGGGAGGUCAUUCGAUACUGAUCGACUCGAAGGCAGGAGAGGGUAGUGGAAUUCCCGGUGUAGUGGUGAAAUGCGUAGAUAUCGGGAGGAACACCGGUGGCGAAGGCGGCAUCCUGGACCGGCAUUGACGCUGAGGCGCGAAAGCCAGGGGAGCAAACGGG